AGCAAAAAUGACGUCAGGUGUCAGGUCUCAUACAAUUAGGCAUCAGACGAAACGGACUCAGACAAAAAGGCAUCAGACGAAACGGACUCAGACAAAAAGGCAUCAGACGAAACGGACUCAGACAAAAAGGCAUCAGACGAAACGGACUCAGA